UACGAAGGGGGCUAGCGUUGUUCGGAAUUACUGGGCGUAAAGCGCACGUAGGCGGUUUUCCAAGUUGGAGGUGAAAUCCCCGGGCUUAACCCGGGAACUGCCUCCAAAACUGGGACACUCGAGUCCGAGAGAGGUGAGUGGAAUUUCCAGUGUAGAGGUGAAAUUCGUAGAUAUUGGAAAGAACACCAGUGGCGAAGGCGGCUCACUGGCUCGGUACUGACGCUGAGGAGCGACAGCGUGGGGAGCAAAC
rnacentral:rRNA from 1 species